GCGCCCGUAGCUCAGCUGGAUAGAGCGUUGCCCUCCGAAGGCAAAGGUCGUGGGUUCGAAUCUCGCCGGGCGCACCA
rnacentral:tRNA from 2 species